UAGCGGAUUCAUAAUUGGCUUAGAGCUCUGUAGAAUUUUGGUUAAACUUGCCAUUGUAUGUAGUACACAUUUUGGACAUCAUUUGGGUGUGACGGCCAAUGUUAAACAAGUCGCCCACAAGCAUCCACCACCAAGUGAAUUCCUAACAUUGAUGAAUAUACAGUCGUAACUGUCGUUUAUUUGUAUUUAAAAAUUUUCCUUAGACCCGCUUUAAAAACAAAAACUGAACAUAUCUCCCAUGUCAAAAAAUAAACCGCCUUUAGCUAGAUAAAAACAAAAAAAAACUUAUUUUCAGGGAUAACCCAUAAAACCGUAUCUCUGCUCCAAGAGGAUAUAUAACAAUUACUAGAUGGUAAGUUAGAACAAGCUCCAUAUGAAAGGGAGAAAGAAUCUCAAGAACCAAGAAUUCUCCAAAGUUGACAUGCCAGGUUAUCAGAUCCUGUCAAACUGUCCAACUCAUGCCAGCAUGGAAAACAGAUGUUUAGUAAUAAUGAUGAUGUAUGUAUAUAUAUAUAUAUAUAUAUCUUUAUAUAUAUAAAACUGAGAAUGUGUGUUUGUCUGUCUGUCUGUCUGUGUGUUUCCCUAAAACUUGAGAACUACACAACCAAUUUCAUUCAAAUUUUACACAUGCCUUACUUAGGGUCCGGGGAGUGUCAUCGGCAAAAGAAAUUUAACUUUUUGCCUAGGGCGAGCCCACAGCAAUAUCAUAUCUUCUCCAUUACGAUUCCCUAAAACUUGAGAACUACACAACCAAUUUCAUUCAAAUUUUACACAUGCCUUAUGUAGUUUCAUGGGCAAAAAAAAAAAUGUUCAACUUCUUGCCUAGAGCGAGCCCAUAGUAAUAUCAUAUCUUCUCCACUAUUUUAGUAUUAUGAGGGACGUUCAAUAAGUAAUGCCUCUGACCCACUUGCAGUUGUUUGAUCUAGCUGUGCAAUUUUGCAUGUGCAAUUGUUUAUAUCUCUAUAGAUUAAGUGGCAAAUUACAGCUCUGAGCUAAUUGUGGUUUCUGAUUUACAGGUGUUUGAACUGAGUCAAGUGUGAAAUGGAGCCUGUUGAGUGUCAAGCAGUGAUCUGGUUUUUGUAUUUGAAAGGACGCACACCACGGGAGACUUUUGAUGAAAUGAAAGUAACUUAUGGUGAUGAUGCACCAUCAUAUGACCUUGUAAAACGCUGGCAUCGUGAAUUCAAACAUGGUCAGAACUCUGUGGAAACAGCUCCCAGAUCUGGUCACCCACCUUCUGCCAUUGAUGAGGCAUCUGUCCGUCAAGUUGAGGCUGCCAUUUUGGAAGAUCGAUGCAUAACUAUUCGCCAAAUAGCCCAUGAGGUCAAGAUUAGUACCGGGUCUGUGGAAACUAUCAUUCAUGACCAUUUGCAUAUGCAAAAUGUGCCUGCUAGAUGGAUUCCCAGGUUGCUCACGCCUUUCCAGAAGCAAGAACGCGUCGAGUACUCGAGGGUGAAUUUGGAGAUGUGCCAAGAAGAUGAGUCAAAAUUUUUCAAAAGUCUGAUUACACAGGAUGAAACCUGGGUCCAUCACGAUGAUCCAGAGACCAAAGCCCAGUCAAUGCAGUGGAAGCAAAGUGACUCAUCCCCUCCAAAGAAGGCAAGGGUGCAGCCCUCCGCUGGCAAGGUCAUGCUCACAGUCUUCUGGGACCAGGACGGAGUAGUGAUGACAGAUUUCCUGGCAAAGGGUACCACAAUUGCAGGAGCUUAUUAUGUUUCACUUUUGAGGAAAUUAAGAGAAGCUAUCAAAAUCAAGAGGCAGGGCAAGAUCAGCAAAGGCAUCCUUCUCCUGCAGGACAACGCUCCAGUCCACAACUCGCUUGUCGCCAGAUCAGAAGCACAGGCGUAUGGCUAUGAACUCCUCCCCCAUCCCCCUACUUUCCUGACCUUGCACCCUCUGAUUUUCACCUCUUCCCAGUCAUGAAGUUGUUUUUGAAAGGAAAGCGUUUUCCAGAUGAUGCAGCCUUGAUUUCUGAAGUCACGUUCAGGUUGGAGGACCAAGCUGGGGUCUUCUACAAAAACGGUCUCCAGAGCUGCAUCAAGCAAUGGGAGAAAUGCGUAACUCUGGGUGGUUCCUAUGUAGAAAAAGACUAAUAACUGUGCCAAGUUUCGUUGCUCUACUGCUAUGGGAAGUGGGUCAGGGGCAUUACUUAUUGAACGCCCCUCGUACGCGUUAAAAGUGAAACAAAAAUAUUUCUCUAUUUUAUGUCAGAUGCUUUCACUUUAACAAUAAAAAUAAUAAUAACAAUUGAAUUAUAUGUAGUAAGUAAUAAUUAAAAUCAACGACGGGUCUUUAAUGCUAGUAUAUAUAUAUAUAUAUAUAUAUAUAUAUAUAUAUUUACAUGAGUGUAUAUUUCUGUGUGUGCGUGUGUGUGUGUAUAAGCAUGUGUCUAUUACCCUCUCCUUGACUUGACAUUGCGUAUUAAUUGCAAACAAGUAUUACAGUCAUAUGAUCAAUACCCUUUGUAUUUAGUCUUCCACAAAAACUUGUCUGGUCACGGAGAAAUAUCAUUAUAUUUCAAAACAAGUGUGGCCUGGCAACAGGAAGAGCAUCAAUAUUUCCACUCUACCACUUAAAAAUGGUACAUCAUAAUCAUCUCCAUCAUCAUCAUCAUCAUCAUCAUCAUCAUCAUCAUCAUCAUCAUCAUCAUCAUCAUCAUCAUCAUCAUCAUCUUCAUCAUCACCAGGAAUCUGGUCAAAAAUUUGUCACUAUCUUUCUUAAUCAUUCACGGGCCACCUACAACAACUGGAAUGGUUUUGGUUUUUAAUUGUCACGUCUUAGAUAUCUCAUUCUCAAGGUCCUUAUAUUUCGACAGCUUUUCAAAUUUCUUUGCUGAGAAGUUUCUUUCAGUAGGCACUGUCAUAUCAAUUAACAGGUAUGUUUUUAUUUUUUUGUCUUCUGUCUUUGAUGACGGUGUCUGAUCUGUUAUCAUUUAUUUGCCUGUCUGUAUGUAUCCCAUAAUCCUAUAGGACCGUAACAUUUUCUCUUUCAGUGACUGACUCUGGAUGGUGUUCAUACCAGUUUUUAGGGUGCGGGAUAUCAUAGUGAUGGCAUACGCUCCAGUGCAAGUAUUGGCAAACUCGAUCAUGCUUGCUGUUAUAUUCUGUAGGGGCAAGGACUGAGCAAGCGGCAACAUUGUGGUCAAUACUCUCAAGUUUAUCAAUAAAGAGUCUUCACUUUGCGUCUGUUUCGUUGUGUGUGACAUUAGCUUGAUGGUUCCGAGUGAGGAGACGUUGGUCUUGUGCCGCUAGGAUAAAUAUUGUUUCGGCUUUCAAAGCAGCACUCUGCAGCCUCUGAUGAGCUCUUCUCAUAUCAAGGUGGCGUGCUGGAAGAAUCGUUUGCACGCCUCACAGAAUGCUCAGCGGUAUUUCGUCCGUCUUUACGCACUGAAUUCAAAUUCCACCGAGGUAGACUUUGCCUUUCAUCCUUUCAGGAUCAAUAAAAUAAAUACCUGUUUCUUUAUUACCCACAAGGGGCUAAACAUAGAGGGGACAAACAAGGACACACAAAGGGAUUAAGUCGAUUACAUCGACCCCAGCGCGUAACUGCUACUUAAUUUAUCGACCCUGAAAGGAUCAAAGGCAAACUCGACCUCGGUGGAAUUUGAACUCAGAACGUAACGACAGACGAAAUACCGCUAAGCAUUUCACCCGGCGUGCUAACGGUUCUGCCAGUUCGCAAUAAAUUCCGGUUGUGUAAUCUACUCACUAAAUCAAAAUUACUGGCCUUGUGUCAAAAUUUGAAACCAUUAUUAUUAUCAUAAUAAUUAUGAAUUAAUUAUUCUUUGAGGGGUUGAUAAAAUAAGUACCAGUCAAACACCGGGGUCGGUGUAUCGACUAGCUCCUACCCCCAAAUUUCAGGCCUUGUAUCUAUAGGAGAAAGAAUUAUUAUUCACUAUUAUCAAGGCGGCUACGGCGGCUAAGGCGGCAAGCUGGCAGAAUCGUUAACACAUUGGGCAAGAUGCUUAGCGGUAUUUAGUCCGUCUUUACGUUCUAAAUUCCGCCGAGGUCGACUUGGCUUUUCAUCCGUUCGGGAUCGAUAAAUUAAGUACCAGUGAAAAACUGGGAUCGAUGUAAUCGAUUUACCCCCUCCCCAAGAAUUUCAGGCAUUGUGCCUUAAGAAGAAAGGGUUAUUAUCAAGGCAGCGAAUCGUUUGCACAUAUAUAUAUAUAUAUAUAUAUAUAUAUAUAUAUAUAUAUAUAUAUAUAUAUAUAUAUAGAGAGAGAGAGAGAGAGAGAGAGAGAAGUAUACAAUAUUUAAAAUUUUAAAACCUUGGAAUUAAUUCGAUUUAAGGAAUUCAAUUUACCAGAUUUUAUAUUUUCGUAUCAUCUGUAGAUAUUUCUACAUUUAGAAAGUUUAUUUUUUAGGUUAUCGCUUGUCUUUCUUUCUGUUCUGCGAGUUCUGGGUUUCUGCCGUGCAUCUGAUCCCAACACAAGGAAGCAGCCAUAUAGAUUCAGCUAUCAUAUCUCGGGUUUUUUCCCUUACUUCCAGCAGUUGUUUGUUUAUAGGAAAAGUACCAAGACGUACAGUUUGCUUGUCUGUUCACUUAGUUGCGCAUAUAUAUAUAUAUAUAUAUAUAUAUAUAUAUAUUUGUGUUCUCGUUUUUUCUUAUGCUCUUAUGCUCAGUUUGUUUGCGUCAGCGAACAGAAAUAUUGGAAGUUUCCACUCUAGCAACGCAUCGCCAAUUUUAUUUUGUUUCAUUGCCACCAGAUCGCUCAAAUUCUCAGAGGUAAUGGGGGAUAUAGCCAAAGAAGGCUGCUCUUUCAAGGCGUACAUUACUGUUUCAUUCUUUUAGUGAUAUUUAUAAUAUAUGGUACAAAAGUAUGAUGUCAACAAAUAAAAAAAAAGACAAGAUAAGAAUAACCACAGAGGAAAAGUGAGUUAAGCAAUCAAAAUGAUACAAGUACGAAGUUAAAACGCGCUGGUGGGUACGUUAUUUAACAAAACAAAAGCGAAGAUCUCUCGCUUGUGGCACUAUGUGAGUGCUGCCUAUACAGCAGAACUUAGAUAGUUUGUGUAAAGUUGCUAAAGAUAAGAAGCUCGAGGAAAUACAACUAAGAUUUUAGCUAAAUUUUUCGAAGAUGUUAACAAUGGUGAAUAUUUGAUUUUAGGCUUUUUAGAUCAAUCUGCACGAAUGAAAAUUAUUUUAGACUACGUAUGUAUGUAUGUAUGUAUGUAUGUAUGUAUGUAUGUGUGUGUGUGUGUGUGUGUGUGUGUGUGUAUGUAUGUAUGUAUGUAUGUAUGUAUGUAUGUAUGUAUGCAUGCAUGUAUGUAUGUAUGUAUGCAUAUGUAUGUAUGCAUGUAUGUAUGCAUGUAUGUAUGUAUGUAUGUGUGUAUGUAUGUAUGUAUGUAUGUAUGUAUGUAUGUAUGUAUGUAUGUAUGUAUGUAUGUAUGUAUGUAUGUGUGUAUGUGUGCGUACAUGUUUUAUAUAUUAGCACUCCUUUUUAAUAUAUACAUACAUAUAUAUAUAUAUAUAUAUAUAUAUAUAUAUAUACAGACAGACAAACAGACAAACAGACAGACACACAGAAGCAGGUAGAUAGACAGAUUUAUAUGUAUAUACAUGCAUAUAUAUGUGUGUGUGUGUAUGUAUACAUAUGUGUGUGUGUGUGAAGGCGCAUGACUCAGUGGUUAGAGCGUCGAGCUUACGAUCUUGAGGUUGUGAGCUCGAAUCCCGGACCGGGCUGCGUGUUGUGCUCUUGAGCAAGACACUUUAUUUCACGUUGCUCCAGUUCACUCAGCUGUAGAAAUGAGUUGCGACGUCACAGGUGCCAAGCUGUAUCUGCUGUUGCCUUUCCCUUGGAUAACACUGGUGGCGUGUAGAGAGGAGGCCGGUAUGCAUGGGCGACUGUUGGUCUUCCAUACACAACCUAAUUUUCAAAAUUUCGAACCCAUUUUCCGCGCUUAAAUUACAAAUCCGCUUCCACUUUCGCAUGCUGAAAAUUUGAUUGAAAUCGGGCAAAAGGUGUCCAGUCUAGACCCCCAAGUGUCCCCAAAAAUCAAUAAAAUCCCCGUUUUCACAGUAUACAUACAUAUAUACAUAUAUAUGUGUGUGUGUGUGUAUGCCUAUAUUGGUACAGGACGUCACCAACUGUUUAAGCAGCAAAAAGUACGAAAACAAACGAGUUAAAUACGUAAACAACGAGAAAAAAAUAGAAACAGAACAAGUAAACACAGAGAAAGAACUCUUCAUGUGUUGUCGGCUGUCUAUCUAAUCCUCAUUUCGAGCAUUCAACGAUAAUAUCAGUCUUCAAAGACAGUUGCUUCCAUAAAUUACAAAAUAAAAUUUUGGAUUUAUGGAGGGUCAAAGUUGGGAACAUAAACAGGACAGUGGAGACAUACAAGGAAACCGAACGAAAACAAACCACGGAGGGUCGUUAGACCAGAACGAGAGGAAAAUAGUGAACGCUGGAGAAAUAUUUUCUUUGAAAAGAGAAAAGAGAAGCGAAAGAAAACUCCAGUCCUUAGGACCUCGUGUAGGAAAAGAAAGAUGGUCACGUGAGGAAAAGAAAGAUGGACGAUGGUCACAUGUGAGGAACGAGAGAGUGAAAAAGAGAAAGGGGGAGAGAGACAGAUAGAAAAUGGUGAACGUGAGAAAAAGAAAAUUAGAGAAGGAUUGGGGGAAAAACAGUAUAGAGUAGAAACGCAUCAAAAAGGUGAAGAUAAACUGACUUGGAAAUGGAUGCGUGGCGUUCAGUUAAAUAAUGAUGUAAAUAAUAUAUAUAUAUAUGUGUGUGUGUGUGUGUGUGUGUGUGUGUGUGUGUGUGUGUGUAUGCAUAUAUGGGUACAGGACGUUACCAACUGUGUAGGCAUGAAGUACGAAAACAAGAGUUAAAUGCGCAAACAACGAGAGAAAAAAUGGAAAAUAGGGCAAGAAAACACAGAAAACGGUUGUCAUACACACACACAUACACACUCACACACACACUCACACACACACACGCACUCACACACACACACACACACAUAUAUAUAUAUACUAGCAGUAUCGCCCGGCGUUGCUCAGGUUUGUAAGGGAAAUAACUAUAAUGCAUUUUUAGAGAGUUAUAGCCAAAAAUUAGCAAAAAAAUGGAAAAAAACGAUGGUAAAUUUUUUUUUUAGUUAAAAAAGGUGGAGUUGCGUCCCCUAGACAGUUUGCGGUUUGUGUUUCUGAUUCUCGACCCCAUGUCGAAUUUAUCGAUUUUUUUCAGAACUGGGGGAACUUUUCAAAAUUUUCGCUGCGUUAGUUUUGAAUUAUGACAUUGGGCUAUGUGUGUGUCAAGUUUCAUCAGAAUCGGUUGAAAGCAGUGGUCAGGGUGAGGGUACAAGCAAACAGACACACAGAAACACGCACAGACAAACUGCCGUUUAUAUAGAGAGAGAUAAAUAUAUAAAAUAUAUAUAAUUUGUUAUUUAUGUUUUGGUUUAUGUCUAUCACUGUUUGAGUUGCAUAAUAGUGGUUUUAUCUCUAAUUUAUAUCUUAUAUAUAUAUAAUAGAAUAAUAAAGAGAAAGUUCUUGGUAUCGUAUUACAUAUAUUUGAAAGAAUGAGAUGGCUUUUUGUGGGAGGGGAUAAUUUUUAUUAAGGUUAAAAUAAAAAUCAUCCCCUUAAAAAAGCCAUCUUUACUCAUAUAUAUACGUGUGUGUGUGUAUACACACACAUAUGUGUAUAUGUGUAUAUAUAUAUAUGUAUAUACGAUGGGAUUCUUUCAGUUUCCGUCUACCAAAUUCACUGACAAUGCAAAUAGAAGACACUUGCCCAAGGUGCCACGCAGUAGGAUUGAACUAGAACCAUGUGGUUGGGAAGCAAAACUCUUACCACACAACCACGCCUGCGACUAUGGUAUGCAUAAAUUUGUCACAUAGACAGAAAAUUAAAUUUAUUCAAUCAAAGGUGCUUCAGAAAAAUCUUGAGGAUCAAUUGGUGAGACCGUGUCACAAAUGAAGAGAUUCUGAGAGAAGCAAAGUCACGACCACUACCAGAGAUUGUAGUAGCGCGCCUAUUCCACCUGGUUGGCCAUAUUCUCCGUCAAGCCGAUCAACGUUGUUCUAAAACAGGCAUAAAAGGGGCAAGUCGAAGACCGCCUUGCGGUGGACAUUUCAAGACGACUUGAAGAUAGCCGACAUUAUGUUGAAUCGAUGUGCAAAAGUAGCAGCCGAUCAAACACGUGAAGGGAGAUGGCUGCCCAAUGUACUGAUGGACACAGGAUACAAAGCAAAAAAAAAAAGAAGAAAAAUCCAAAGCAACUAAUUUAUUCCUUUAUUUAUUUCAAUCAUAUUACUGCGGCCAUGCUGGAGCACCACCUUUAGCCGAGAAAAAUGACCCCAGUACUUAUUCUUUGUACGCCUAGUACUUAUUCUAUUGGUCUCUUUUGCUCUACCGCUUACUUACGGUGACGUAAACACAUCAAGAUCGGUUUCAAGCGAUGUUGGGGAGAGGAAAACAGAAACAUAGACACACAAAUACACACACACACACACACACACACACACAUACACACACACACACACACACACACACAGAAAUUGCAAAGAUAAUCUGGAUCUCGACUGAGGAAAAAAAAACUCCGAAUGGCCCGUCCUUGUUUUCUUUGUAGCGUCUAUCUGGAUGUUCUGUGUUCUUGUUCCAUUUUGUAUAUAUAUAUAUAUAUAUAUAUAUAUACCGGAGUAAACACAUAAAUGUGAAACAAGGUGGAAAAAAGAGUACUCAAAUACCAGUGGUAGAGUAAUAUGCUUUAUUUAAAGCAGCAGAAAAUUCAACAAAAUCUGUUACUCUGAGUUUCUCGUUGCCGUUCAUCAGACAGAACGGCAACGAGAAACUCAGAGUAACAGAUUUUGUUGAAUUUUCUGCUGCUUUAAAUAAAGUAUAUAUAUAUAUAUAUAUAUAUAUAUAUAUAUAUAUAUACAUACAUAAUUAAUAAUAUCAGGGUAAUAAAGAUUUUAGAAAUUUUUACUACCAGUGGCCUAGCGUACUAGUCAAUAGACUAUAUAUUAUUCAUAUAAGAUACAGUGUACAUUUAAACACAUUAAGAGGUAUCCAUCAUAGGACUCCCUUAUGCUAGAAGGAACAGCUAAAGUCCAAACCACUAAUUAAGGAUAAAAUCUCGAAGGGAAUGAAAAAUAAAAACAUUUACCAUCUAUUUACUGGACCAUGGUUUCUGAAUGUUUUUAGCAAAUAAAAUAGGUAAGAUGGAUGGAAUUCGAAAGAGAAGGGAAAAUUUUAAUUUAGAAAUAAGGGCGAUAUUUAGAGAACCUAUAUGAAGUGUUGACCUUUUUGUUCCUUAGAGUAUGAAAAUCCGUGGUUGGUAGAAAUAUCCAACAUCAAGUUGGUUAAAGGUGUUGUCAAGCGAGUUAAAAUAGUUGGCUUCCAUUGUCCGUAUGCACGUAUGACCCAAUGAUUGUAUGGUUCCACAGACUAAGAUCCCACCCAGGAGGUCUUAACCAUUCGGUCACAUCUCUCUCUCUCUCUCUCUCUCUCUCUCUCUCUCUCUCUCUCACACACACACACACACACACACACAUGCACGUUCACUUGCACAUACAUAUACACACAUAUACUCACAGAAAUUAAAAAAAACGCAAACGUACCAAGAUGAAAUAAAAACAAAUUUUACUGGCAUUUUUACUGAGAAGGGUAAUACUGUGAGAGUGGUGAUAAAAUACCUUGGAAUAUUUGUUUUCUCCAAGGUGGCGAGCUCGCAGAAGCGUUAGCACGCCGGGGGAAAUGCUUAGCGAUAUUCUCAUCCGUCUUCACGUUCUGCGUUCAAAUUCCGCCGAGGUCGAUUUUGCCUUUCAGGGUCGAUAAAAUAAGUACAAGUUGAGUACUGAGGUCGAUGUCCUGGUGUUGUGCCAAGAUUUGAUAUCGAUAUGUGUUUUGUUCCUUUACAACCUACAUUUAACCCCACUGAAUUCAACUUUGAUCUCAUCCUUCCGUGGUCGAUACAAUGAAGUAUCAGUCACGUAUACGGCUCAGAAUAAUUGACUGUUCUCUCCACCACGGUUUUCUGGCCUGGACUAUAUUAGAACGAUUAUAGUAGAGAGCGAGACAAAACAUCACGUUGUUUAUCAGUCGCUAGUGAAGUGUGUCAGUACAUAAUAAGUAAACAAGUUAUGUAAACCCACAUCGUGAAGUAUAUUUGUUUUGGACUUAACAAGGAAGGAAAAAAAACAGAAAACUUUAGUUUGUUCUAAACAUGAAAUCAAAAUGCAGACCAAUCGUUAAAACACGUGAAUGAAACUGUCAACAACUGAGAAAGAAAAAAAAUCUUUUAUCUCUUACUUGACUGCGGCCAUGCUGGGGCACCGCUUUGAAGUGUUUUAAUCGAACAAAGCGACACCAGGACAUAUUUUUUAGGCGUACUGCUUAUUCUAUCGGCCUCUUUUGCUGAAUCGCUAAGUUACGGGGACGUAAACACAUCAACAUUGGUUGUCAAGCUGUACUGUGAAACCCCCAACCCGCGCGCACACACACAUAUUGGCUUGGCAAAAAAGUAAUUUAGUUUUUUUAGUUUGAAAUAAAUGUCAUUUUUUUCAUACAAACAAUGAACUAUAUAUUUUCCAUUUUGUUCGAUGAUCUUUUGCCAUCUUUCUGGCAACUUCAUGAUUCCGCGCUCAUAGAGCUUCUGGUCCUUAUCACCGAAAAACUGAAGCAAGUGAUAUUUCAUGUCACCAUCAUUAUUGAAAGUUUCACCAUUCAAAGAAUUUUGCAAACUAUGAAAUAACUGGUAGUCUGAUGGUGCAAGGUCAGAGCUAUAUGAUGGAUGUGACAUCAUUUCCCAAACAAGCAACAAUAAUUUUUCACGAGUUAGUAAAGACGUGUGUGGUCUAGCGUCGUCAUGGUGGAACACGAUUCUUUACGAUUUGCCAAUUCUGGCCGUUUUUCUUUGAUUGCUUCCCUCAGUUUCAUUAGUUGUUGACAGUAAACAUCUGAAAUGAUCGUGUGAUUCCUUGGAAGCAGCUCAAAAUACAGAACGCCUUUGUAAUCCCACCAAAUUGAAAGCAUGACUGUUUUUUGUUGCAAUUCAGAUUUCGAUAUGGUUUGUGCUGGUUCAAUACGCUUGGACCAUGAUCGUUUUCUAUUGAUGUUAUUGAAGACACUCCAUUUUUCAUUACCAGUGACGAAUCGCUUCAAAAAAAGGUCGAUUUUACAGCGUUUGAGAUUAAUAUAUUUAAAAUAUUGAUUCGUUGUAUUAAGGAAAUCUCUUUCCAUUUAUGUAGAAUCAAAAUAUUGAGCUUCUUAUUGAGUCCAAGACAUUUUAAGUGAUUUUCAAUAGUUGUAUGCGAUACAUUUAACCUCUCUGUAAUCCCUCACACAGUUAUAUGACUCUCAGAUUCAAUUAUGGAUUUGAUUCGGUCAUCAUCAACUUCAGUAGAUCGACCAGAGCGUUGGGCAUCUUUGAGUGAAAAAUUUCCAGAAGGGAAUUUUUUUAACCAUUUCUGACAUGUGCGUUCUGUUAAGCAAUCAACACCAUAAACUUCACCUGUCUUUGUGAGCCUCAGCAGCUUUCUUGCCUAUACGGAAAUAAAAGAGCAAAAUAUGGGGGAAAUGUUCGUUUUUGCACUCUAUGUUAAAACUGACACUGAACUAACAGGUGUAAACAAAAUUACGCGCAAUUUGUUUCUAAAGUAAGCAAAAAGUAACGGCUAUCAAAUGUCAAAGAAAAAAUCAUGACAUUGACAAAAGUUUUUUUAAAACAUCGUAACUCUAGCGCUUUGCAAAAAAUGAAAUUACUUUCUUGUCAACCCAAUACACACAGACACGCACACACACUCACAUACACACACACACACAUACAUACAUACAUAUAUAUAUACAUAUAUAUACAUAUAUAUAUAUAUAUAUAUAUAUAUAUAUAUAUAUAUAUAUAUAUAUAUAUAUAUAUAUAUAUAUAUAUAUAUAUAAUAUAAUAUUAAUUAGAGACAAAACCACUAUUAUGCAAAUCAAACAAAGAAAGACUUAAUCCAAUACAUAAAAAAUUUUAUAUAAAUUAAAUAUAAUUAAGAUUAAUUAAGAUAUACACUACGAUCGUUUCUUGUCACUUCAAUGGACAUUCAUCAGGUAAGGUCUUGAAAACCACCUGAUGAAUGUCCAUUGAAGUGACAAGAAACGAUCGUAGUGGAUAUCUUAAUUAAUCUUAAUUAUAUUUAAUUUAUAUAAAAUUUUUUAUGUAUGGGAUUAAGUCUUUCUUUGUUUGAUUUGCAUAAUAGUGGUUUUGUCUCUAAUUAAUAUUAUAUUAUAUUUUACUAUAAAAUUGGAUUCAAUCAUAAAUCUGAUUUUCCCUGUAAAUUUGGAUUUAUUCCCUAAUAUAUAUAUAUAUAUAUAUAUAUAUAUAUAUAUAUAUAAGGUGAAUUCACAAAGAAAAUAAUAAAAGACGAAGACAGGUGCUACAGACAACAAAAGCUCGGGAAGUGAAAAAGUCUUUAACGUUUCGAGCCUACGCUCUUCCACAGAAAGGAACACAGAAAAAAAAACAAGGAGAGAAAAUAAAGAAUAUGUAGUGGCUAGCGAUCUAUCAUGGCGAAUGACCUGAGUGUCAUUGCCGAGUCGGAUGUUUCGGAGGUGUUCCGCGAACCAGGCAGCCAAGCGGCGUCCCGUUUGCCGGAUGUUUAUAGAAGGGCAGAGAGAUCAGGAGAUGCAGUAGAUGACAUUGGUAGAAGUGCAGGUGAAGGAGUCGGUGAUGUGAUAGGGUCGAUGGUGGAUGCCGGUGAGGAGGGUGGUGUUGUAGAGGUAAGGGCAAGUGCGGCAGCGUGGGCAGGGGAAGGGGAAGGACGACUGGCUUCUUUCAGUUUCCUAGAAAUAGUUGACAAAUUUCCAUGAAAUUAUAGUCUAACGCCUAAAAAUAGGAAGGACAUAUCGUACAAUGUGGUUCCAGACAUUAAACAAGAUGGGGUGAUCACGGCUCGAAAGCCUUAGAUCAUAAGUUUUCCCGGUGGCUCUAUCCUCAGCUGAACAAGAACACAUACAUGUAUAUGCGCGCGUUUCACUUUGUAUGUAUGUAUGCGUGGUAGUGGGGAGGAUUCGCGCACGAGUGGAAAGUUGAUGUCGACUAUCUUUAUAAAGUACCGAAUAGAUCGUUGUGGGCCAGCAUAACUAGAUAAACACGAAUAAAAAUGUUUGUGCAUUUGUGCUUUCAUAACUCAUGCUGCAGUACACUAUGACAAUAGCGGUCAGGUCGUUAACCUCGUAACAUUAUUCAAGUGAGUUACGUCAGUCACAAAGUUUGUUUACAAAUGUAAAUGUGUUACAUCCGUCUAAAGUUUGUUUACCUUGUAAAAAGUAAUCUUCAUCUGCUAUCAUUAACAGUUUCGGUGAUAUGAGUGAACAAUGAAACUAGUUGUUUCUAUACUUUUACAAGGCUAGCGAAAAAUCUUUGGUAGACCAUGUUUCUAAAUACGACAUACUAUUAAAUGUCUGCGAUGCGAGUCAAGAUAUUUACUUAUUUAUUCAUAACCCACUCUAGUUUUCUAUUUAAGAUACACAUACACAUACGCAUAAAUAUAUACUAGCUACCAACUCUAGUUCUCUAGUUCAGUUAUACACAUGCACACGCAUAUAUACGAGGUGAGUAGCCCGUUGUUGCGGGGCAAUUUUCUGAUCAUGUCUUCCUCGUCGGAUAGGCCACUUGAUCAGGAUAGAUGUUGUUUGGGGCAAUUUAUGAUGUUGCGAUAAACGAAGUCUUUUGUUUUCCUAUUUGGUACAUAGAUACUCUUUACUCUCUUUUACUCUUUUGCUUGUUUCAAUCAUUUGACUGCGGCCAUGCUGGAGCACCGCCUUUAAUCGAGCAACUCGACCCCGGGACUUAUUCUUUGUAAGCCCAGUACUUAUUCUAUCGGUCUCUUUUGCCGAACCGCUAAGUAACGGGGACAUAAACACACCAGCAUCGGUUGUCAAGCAAUGCUAGGGGGACAAACACAGACACACAAACACACACACACAUGUAUAUAUACAUAUAUACAACGGGGGCUUCUUUCAGUUUCUGUCUACCAAAUCCACUCACAAUGCUUUGGUCGGCCCGAGGCUAUAGUAGAAGACACUUGCCCGAGGUUCCAUGCAGUGGGACUGAACCCGGAACCAUGUGGUUGGUAAACAAGCUACUUACCACACAGCCACUCCUGUAAAGAUUCUUUUUCUACUUCCUACUCUUGAACUCCUAACGUAAAACUAUCCAUGGGUAAAGUAGGGCUUUUCAUGGUGUAAACUGGUAACCGAAAAUGUUCACCUUUGCGAUUUGUUGAUGGUCGUGGCAAAGCUAAAGCUCACUGGAGAUUGAAAUCGUUUGAAAUAAAACGGGAUAUCGUUUCCUGAGUUCGUGUGAAGGAAGCUCUUGUGCACUCAUCACCUAAUCGAUGCAUCCCAUGCUGGGUGUCUCCUGAAACCGUGCGACAGAGACUGGUGCUCGAAUAUCAAGUCUAUUCCCUCUCUGUUCGGGUGUCUCCUGAGCUUGCUGCUAACGCUUUGAGCGAGUUUUUCGACUCAGUCGCCCAAAUGAAAUUUCUUGCAUACGUAAGCACGCAUGCGCGCGCGUACGCACACACACACAUACACACAUACAUACAUACAUACAUACAUACAUACAUACAUACAUACAUACAUACAUACAUACAUACACAUAUUCAACGUGAGAAAUAUACAUAUACAGAGAAAGCGUGAGGGAAAAUAUGGUUAAUAUAUAUAGAGAGGCGAAAAGUUUACAGUAGUGAAAGCAUAAAAGACAGAGAGACAGAUAAACAUAUGAACUGACAGAGAGGGGUUCAUCGAGAUACGCACUCGGUUCCUGUAACUGCUUUGCAUUACAUAUCAUAUCAAGAGAUAAGUGGGUAUGCAUGCCUGAUACACACACACAUGCACACAUACACACACACACGCACACACACAGUGAAAGAGAGAGAGAGAGAAUGAUAAAUAUAUGCAGAGAGGAGGUAAGUUUACAGUGAGAAAAGCGUAAAAGACAGACAGACAGACGAGACGGACAGAUAGAGAGAGGUUCAUAGACGGACGCGCUCGACUCGUGUGACUGAUUUGCAUUAGAGGGCAUAUUAAGAGAGACAGUGGGAGCAGCAUUUGUGAGAGACAUACAUAUUUAGAGACAGAGAGUGAGAGAGUCUAUGGUCAAUAUAUAAAGAGAGGGUGACGGCACAAAAGACAGAGACAACACAGAUAGACAGACAGUUUGAAGAUCACACACACAUACACACACACACACACACACACACACACACUUACACAGGGGAUCAUGAAAUCAUAACUUUUAAGAUGGCGACUUCUAAAGACAUUCGAUGUUGGCGAUCUGUAAGUUGAGUUUUUUCUCGUAGUAAAUUAUAUUUUUUGAUAACUAAUAACCAGAAACCUUUUCCUUGAGACGCUAAUUUCGAAAAUCAAAUCCGUUUUCCUCUCGGGUAUAACGUUUCGAAGCCUUUCGGUGAUACACACCAUAAACUCUCACUUACAUAGGUGUAUACACACACACGCGCAUAUAUGUGUGUGUGUGUGUGUGUGUAUAUGUAUGUGAAGGCGCAUGGCUCAGUCGUUAGAGCUGGACCGUGCCUCUGAUCUUUCUCCGCGUGCCUGCCCCACCCUUAUUCAUCUCCCGUUCCCCUUCCCUACCACCCCUCCACCCUGUCCCUCCAACGCACCAUUCUCCGAGCCUUCCGGCGACUCCAGUCAGACGCCUCCACCUCGCACAUCUUCCCUAACCUACACCUUUCCUCUUUCAAACGAGCCAAUAACCUGCCACCUAGUCCACAGUUUCUGCCCUACCCUCACCUCCCAGCCUGGCUCCUCCCACUAUACCCGCUCACGGUAUCGCACCCGUUCCUACUCUCCAACACAACCAUCCUCACAGGCACCACGUCACCGACUCCUUUACCUACACCUCGAGUAAUGUCAUUUGCUGCAUCUGCUGCUCUCUCUGUCCUGGGAGGCCGAUUGGCUGACCGGUUCGCGGAGCACCUCCAGGACAUUAGACUCGGUAAUGACAACUCAGUUUCGCGCCAUUUCCGAUCUACCGCUCAUUCGCUACAACAUCUGUUUGUGUUCGGACUGUCUCUACACAGGGGCCACCUGGACUCCCGCCUUCGCUGUGAACAGAAAUUAAUCUUCUCUCUUCGUUCCUUUGUUGCAUAUGGGCUCAACUCAUCUACUCUCUUCAUCUGACACCAAACUCAUCUCUCUUCACUUAACGCCAAUCCCACAGGGAUUCUCACUCACCUCUCACACCCUCUACCUACAUACCGGCAUACCCCCUCGGUACCCUCACCCACACUCACCACUAUACACACACCGAUGCACACUGUUCAACUCAUCACUCACUUCACUCACCAUUUCACACCCACCCACAACACCUUCCCACUCCAAACACACUUCUCAGCACCCACACAAUCCACCAUGAUCCACACACAAACACACACAAUCUUCAAUACCUAUUUCUUUAUUACCCACAACAAGGACAGACAUAGGUAUUAAGUCGAUUACAUCGACCCCAAUGAGUAACUGGUACUUAAUUUAUCGACCCCGAAAGGAUGAAAGGCAAAGUCGACCUUGGCGGAAUUUGAACUCAGAACGUAACGACAGACGAAAUACGGCUACGCAUUUCGCCCGGCGUGCUAACGUUUCUGCCAGCUCGCCGCCUUCAAUACCGUCACCACACAUACCGCUAUAUGAGUAUCCACACACACUGUUUAACCCAGUACACACAUCACACACUAUCAUGUACACUCCUACACCCACACAAGCACACAAUACCUCUACACACACAGUAUAUACUCCCACAUCCACGUAAGCACACAAUAUCUGAAUACACACAAUAUAUACACAUACACACAUACACACAACACGCAUAAACAUACGCAACACACAUAGACAAAGAUAAUUUUCGCUCACACACAUGCACUAUACACAUGCACACUAUUUGGUCACAGUGGUACAGAUAUAGAUAGAAAGAUAGAUAGAUAGAUAGAUAGAUAGAUAGAUAGAUAGAUAGAUAGAUAGAUAGAUAGAUAGAUAGAUAGAUAGAUAGAUAGAUACGACGGACUUUUUUCAGAAAUCCACUCACAAAGCUUUGCUCAGUCCAAGGCUAUAGUAGAAGACAGUUGCUAAAGGUGUCACACAGAGGAACUGAACACAGAACCAUGCGGUUGGAAAGCAGGCUUCUUAGCACACCGUCACGCCUGCGCCUAUAUAUAUAUAUAUAUAUAUAUAUAUAUAUAUAUAUAUAUAUAUAUACCGGAGUAAACACAUAAAUGUGAAACAAGGUGGAAAAAAGAGUACUCAAAUACCAGUGGUAGAGUAAUAUGCUUUAUUUUAAGCAGCAGAAAAUUCAACAAAAUCUGUUACUCUGAGUUUCUCGUUGCCGUUCAACAGACAGUUUUUGCUAGAAUCUAGCAAAAACUGUCUGAUGAACGGUAACGAGAAACGAGUAACAGAUUUUGUUGAAUUUUCUGCUGCUUAAAAUAAAAGUAUAUAUAUAUAUAUAUAUACUGUUGUAUUUCGAGUCAUUUUUUUUUUUUUGGCCAAAUAAAUACACGCACUUUGUUCACUAGCGUCAUUACACAUACCACUAUAUAAUAGUGCCUGUGUUUAUUUGGCAAAAAAAUAAUAAAUAAAUAAAUAAAAUGACCGUCCUGAAAUACAACAUCUGUUUCAACACACGAUUUAAUAUCAGGAAUCUUCUCGGAAUUCAUCAUAAUCAUCAAUGUUUCUAGACCGUCAGUCUUAACUUCGAGAUUUCCGAUGUGUAACAACUUCAUUGUUAUGACAGGUAAAUAUUUUAAUGUUUAGUCCUCUGGGUCAGAAUUUGAAGUUUGAUCGUUAGGUUUACACGUCAUAAACCUAACAUGGGUGAAUAUAUUCUUAAGGUCAACUUUUACUUAUUUGCGAGUACUUCUGGCUUCAUCACUAGUUCAGUUCUCAACAAAUUGAAUGCAUUUUUUUUAGCAAUGAUGGUCCAAACCUAUGCCACAUUCAUUUUUUUUUUUUAGCAAUGAUAGUCCAGUUCUAAGCUACAUUUUGAGAUAAAUUAAAUGAAAUUCGGUUCAUCCCCAAAAAAUGUUAACUCAAAAUAUGAGGACAAAAAUGGAAGAGUAAGGCGAAAAAUUGACUUUUUUUAAAAUAUCUCAGUUAUUUUAAAAGAAAAGUAUAAAUUAAAUAGAUUUAAAAGAAUGUGCUCAUUGAAAAAUAAUUUUUUGGUGAAAACCUCGUUAAAAAGUAUUUGCUACAAAAAAAGUAGUGUGGCUUUAAGUGACAAAAAACAUGGUAAUUAACCUAAACAUUGAUUUUGAAUCAAAAUAUCUCAGCUAACACUGUUUAUGAUAGUAUCAUCAUCAAUUUAUGAAGGUAAAUAUUAAUUAUAGUAAUAGAAGAGUUGCCUGUAUAAAAAAGGUGAACUAGAAUGAAGAAUGCGGGCGCAGAAUCCUAGAAUUAACUUCUUUGAAAAAGACAACCGUUUGACUUACAAUUACAAGAGUGAAGAUUGUGGAUCAGAUCUUUAUGAGUUUUCAAUAACAGCAUCUAAGAUAGUAAAUAAUUUUUCAAACUAGUAAUUUCAGUAGAUAUGAGUGGAAAACAGGAUCGAAAAUCUUUCCAUAAUCAAGCGAUAUUGUAUCAACAUUUCUGUAAUGUUUUCUUAUUUCAGUCAUACAGCUUUAUCGAUCAAAAUUCGAUCGGCACAGCCUCACACCCUCUUCUUUCUGCUGCCUGCUCAUCAUUCCCCAAAUUUGUCGUAACGCGAAAUUACUAUUCCCAUUGAUUUUCAUAUUCUAAAAUGAUAAUGUAUUCCGAGGAGGUUUUCUGUUAUUCUUUUUUCGGAAGGAACAGCAAACAAACAUAUAUACAAGCAGCAUAAUAACUUUUAUAAAUGAAAAUAUUUUAUAAACAUACACAGUGCAAUAUGUACACCAAUCCUCAUUGACGUAAGAUCAAAGACAUUUCAUUCAACAUUUUAAAUACUCUGGAGUAUCACAUUUAUCGGUGUGAUUGUACAUUGUUUUAGAUGGGUGUUGCUUACCUUCUUCGUACUAUAGUUGCUGUUGCUGGUGGCCAUUGUAUUGGUUUUGGAGUUGAUGAUAAGUAUUGGUGAUGGUGAAGGUUGAUUCAUGUGUGUGCGCGUGUGUAAGAGAGAGAGAGAGAGAGAGAGAGAGAGAAAACAAGAAGAAAGAGAAAGAGUGAGAGAAAGAGAAAGAGAAAGAGAAAGAGAGAAACGAAGUAAGAUAGACAAAUAGACAGAGAAGUUGAUAGAUAGAUAGAUAGAUAGAUAGAUAGAUAGAUAGAUAGAUAGAUAGAUAGAUAGAUAGAUAGAUAGAUAGAUAGAUAGAUAUUCACUGUAACAAGAAAAUAUGCAAAAAAACAUAUUUACUGUAAAAAAAAUUCCACCUCACACACUGUUUAUAGUAUAUAGUUUAUAGAAUAUAUACAAACACUUGUAUAAUCAAGUACAAAUGCGUGCACUCACACACAUGCAUACACAUCCAAACAUACACACACGUGUUUAUGUAUUAUCAUGAUUAUAGUUUUUCAAAAUGUUAAUUAUAUUUGAUCGUUGCUAAAAUGCCAAGGAGCUAAGUACAAUCACGGCUAAGUAUAAUCAAGGAAUACUCUAUCAACAUCCACAGUAAAACUUAUAUAACCGACGACUUAGAAACCUUCACAAAGAUGUUGCGUAAUGGGAAGACACCAGUGAAGCAUUUAACAGCUUAUUCUGUGGAAGUUCAUAACUAAAUAUUUCAAAGUACAAUGGGAAGUCAAUUAGUCAUGUCAAAUUGUCACGCCAUUACACGGACCAAGACCGAAAAUAUUAAUUCAGCAAAAGAUUAUAGGCCCAUUGCAUCUCUCAACAUCAUGUACUAACCUUAUGGAAACUGCCUCAAUCAAUUCCCCCCAAAACCAGGAAUCCUCCUGUGUUACGGCCGCCUCAAGUUACUGGAUUUCGCUCUUACGGAAAUUCUAAAGUAUGAACACUAAUUUUAGGAUACAGUCUGUCGCUUCGCCCACACGGAAACUCAGUAAAAUUUAAAAUAUUAAAAACUAUAUUUUCUUUUAAACCAAACGACCGCUCCUUGGCAUUUUAGCUACGAUCAAAUAUAAUUAACAUUUUGAAAAACUAUAAUCAUGAUAAUACAUAAACACGUGUGUGUAUGUUUGGAUGUGUAUUGCAUGUGUGUGAGUGCACGCAUUUGUACUUGAUUAUGCAAGUGUUUGUAUAUAUUCUAUAAACUAUAUACUAUAAACAGUGUGUGAGGUGGAAUUUUUUACAGUAAAUAUUUGUGUUUUUUGUGUUACAGUGAAUAUAUAUCAAUCUAUCUAUCUAUCUAUCUAUCUAUCUAUCUAUCUAUCUAUCUAUCUAUCUAUCUAUCUAUCUAUCUAUCUAUCUAUCUAUCUAUCUAUAUAUAUAUAUAUAUAUUUAUAUAUAUAUAUAUAUAUAUCAACUUCUUCCUUUCAUUCUAUCACCGAGGCUAAAAUAAAUUGAGAUCUUCCUGAAAAGCGACUCUUUUCACUAAGAUAUUUUUGCCAUCAUUCUAUAUACAAUUUCUGAAGUAGAAGUAAAGUUGUGGUUAAAGGUGGCUUGUUUUAAUACUUUCUUAACUUUAAAGUUAAUUUUCCCUCAUGAUUUUGGUGUUGAAUCUCCAUACAUUUUUGUUAUUUUCUUCCAUGAGAUGUAGUUGGUUUGUGAUGGACUUUCUUUUCACUUUCAAUUUUAAGGAUAAUAUUUUAAUGUCCGAUUCUGCGGCACAUGUUGUUUAUUUCUUCUAGUUUCGUUAUAGAUCUUGGUUACUUCUGUUAUUUCACUACUUCGUACGUAGCACAUGACUUCAGAGAGACCUGAAUCCGAUCGAGAACUUGUGAAAUUAUGUUUCCAAAAAGUCCAUGCCAAAAAACCAUCUAAUCUAAACCUAUUAUUCGAUUAUAGCAAUGAAAUAUGGCAAAACAUUCCCAUAGAAUUUAGUAAUCACUUAGCGAAUUCAAUGCCGAGGCUUUGUUCAGCCGUUAUUAAGAAUAAAGGCUACGGCACAAAGUACUAAUAUGUAUUUCGUUCUUGUUGCUCAUUUUUGCUACAAUCUUAAGCUUUAAAUAAAAUUAUAAUGAUACGGUCUUAAACUAAUUUUACCAGUAAAUUUGAAACGUUUAUAUUAAUUUAGCAUUAGAAUUCUUCAAGUUGUAUAAAAAUAAUUAUUGUCUGCAUCAUUCGAAAGAGAAAUAAAUUCUGCAUAAUUUGUAACAGAUAAAAAUAAUUUGUAUGAUGUUAGUAACAAAAUAUUUUGCAAGAAAUAGAACGUUUAUCAUCGGUCUUAAAUUUAUUUGUUGCCAGUGCAUGUGGGUAGGUAUGUAUAUAUAUUUAUAAAAAAAAAACAAGUAUCAUUGCUUAUAACGACUGCAGCAGAAUUUCUGUUACACGAGAAAAUGUUCUCCUAUUCUCUCACCCAGUUCCUGUUAAGUAUGUAAAGAAUACUAGCAGUUACUGCGUGUCAGUAACAAACAUUUAAUGAAUAAAUGUCAGCUGAAAAUGUACACAUAAAUACAAGUCAAGUUAUACUAUUAGAUAUGCACUGGCGUGUGUUCUUGUUCUCAUAUCGUGUCUGCUCACAUAUAAAUUUGUGCCAGUACACAGAUACUUGAGCUUAUAACUGUACAUAUGCACCCUUGCGUACUUAUGAAGAUAUAGAUAUAUAUAUAUAUAUAUAUAUAUAUAUAUAUAUACAUACAUACAUACAUACAUACAUACAUACAUACAUACAUACAUACAUACAUACAUACAUAUUUAUGAUAUUUAUGUAUAUGUAUAUGAAUCGCUGAUGAAAUCACCCAAAAAUGAACGAUAUUAUCGUUAAAGUUGUGAACUUGUAAAGAUUUUUAGGACGAUAACUGAUGAGGAUAGGGCAUGUCCAUGUCUUGUGCGUGAAUUUCCCGUUCGCUUAUUUCCACUUGUGUUUAAUUUUUGAAUCUUAUAUAUAUAUAUAUAUAUAUAUAUAUAUAUAUACAUAUAUUAUAUAUCACCUCUCCCACUACCCAACAUCACCGCACCACACACCACCACACCACAACACACCACCACACACCAACACCACCAUACCACACCACAUCACACCACCCCGCACGUACUACCAUUGACUACCUCCCAGCACCCACACCAACGCACACACUAACACUGACCACUUCCCAGCACCUACACCAUCAUCCAUACACCUACAUAUGCACACACACACACGUCAAUAUCACCAGCCCCCUUCCACACGCACAUACACGCUCUCACAUACACACGCACGCGCACCUUCGUUUUGGGAUCACCACUACUUUAUUAUCUCCCCUUCUUCCUUGCUCUCCUGUGUGACCCCUUCUGUCUGGUGCUCGCCAUGAUAGAUCGCUAGCCACUAAACCUUUUUCUAUUUUCUCUCCCUGUUUAAUUCUGUGUUUCUUUCUGUCGAAGAGCGUAGGUUCGAAGCGUAGACUUUCUCACUUCCCGAGCGUUAAAUUAAUACAUCUCUUUGUUGUUUACACACCCGUCUUCGUCUUUUGUUUUUUUGUUUUGUUUUUGUAAAUUCUCUCUCUCUCUCUCUCUCUCUCUCUCUGUAUAUAUAUAUAUAUAUAUAUAUAUAUAUAUAUGUAUAUAUAUAUAUAUGAAUUAGACUACACAAAUUGGGUACUCACAUACAUACACACACACAUAUAUGUAUGCAUGUAUGUGUGUAUGUCUGUCUAUAUACAUACACAUAUGUAUACACAUACACAUACAUACAUGUAUACAUACAUUCAUACAUACAUACAUACAUACAUACAUACAUACAUACAUACAUUCAUUCAUACAUACAUACAUAUAUAUGUUUAUAUAUAUGUGUGUGUGUAUGUGUGUGUGUGCGUGUGUGUGUGUAUAAAGAUAUUAAUUCUUGUUGCCUAAAUGCCUAAAUUCCAAUAACGUUGCCUUGUUUCUAGGUAGCGAACUGCCACUUUCUUUAUUGGUGAGAAUUUUGCGAAGAUAACCAGAACAUAAUAAAGAUACAUAUUAUAUUUGUGUAUGCGUGCGUGUGUAUGCGUGUGUAGGUGCGUAUUUGUGUGUACGUGUAAAUAUAUGUGCGUGUGUGUAUCUCUAUAUAUAUCUGUAAGUACAUACAAGUGUAUGUGUGUGCUGUGUAUGCAAGUAUUUAUAUAGAGAGAGACACAUAUACAUAUUUACAAUUUAUGCACACGCACUGCACGCGUGCGCGCACACACGCACUCAGUUAAACAUACGGACGCACAUAUAUACACACACACACACACACACCAUGCUCGCGCGCGCGCACACAGACACACACAGACACAUACGGACGCACAUACAACUAAACAAAAACAUUGAGAUCAUGCAGUAUCAGGGUUUACUAGCACUACAAUAGCAUUUCUGUUACAGUAGAUUAUUUUCUCUGACCCAGAUCCAAUGCAGUAAAGAAUACCAGCCAGUAACGUUGUCUCGGUAACAAACAUCUACAAAAGAAAUGUCAGUUGAACUUUUAUCGCAGGCAAGAAUGAAUUAUCUCUUCUUUUUCUUUCAGUUUUUUUUAAUAAUAAGAGAAUGUCUUCUUUAAGAAGCAUACACGCACAAAUAAAAAAAAAACACGAAAGGCGUCACUACAUUUCAAGGUAUGUAGAGCAGUAGUUCUCGCAUAUGUAACGCAAUAAACCGAAAAUCUUCGAAUAUUUGAAAUUAACCAAAUAAUCAGUAGACAAAAACUAUUUCUAAUAAAUGCUUAAAAUCUGAAAACAAUAAGCAAGGGACAUGACUCUGAAGAGCAAUAUAUUCAAAUUUUUGGAGAACAAGGACAAUUUAGAUUAGUUUUAAUCUGGUCUUUAAAGUCAAUUGGUGAAUGUAAAUGAGAUAUUUGGGUGAAGCAUAUUCUACUCAGGAAACUAAAAGUGACGACAGUUUAGUUCAACUGCGCGGCACUUUGGGCCAAACCGUUCACCGGACUUUGAUGCCUGGGAGUGCUUCAAAAUAUUCUGGGUGGGCAUUAAUUUGUAUUACGGGAAGAUUUUCGUUAACUGUAUUUUCUAAAUCUGAUAAUGCACUUUGAAUAGUGAGAGGAAAAUGCCGUCCAGAGCACCCUCUUAGCGACGGGCAUGCUUUGGGCAAAUGUCUUCUACUAUAACUACGGUCAACCAUUGCCUUAUGAGGGAAUCUGAUAGAUUAAAACUGUGUGGAAGUUCAUUAUGUGUAUGUGUGUGUAUAUAUAUACAUAUAUGUGCGUGUGUAUGUGUGUGCAUAUAUACAUACAUUGCGCACAGGCACUCACACACUAACACACGCAUAAAUGGUAAACAGCUUGCUUCUCAACCACAUGGUUCUAGGUUCAGUCCCAGUGUAUGGCACUUGGGCGAGUGUCUUCUACAACAGCCUCAGGCAGACCAAAGCCUUGUGAGUGGAUUUGGUAGACGGAAACUGAAAGAAGCCCGUCGUAUAUGCGUGUGUGUGUGUGCGUGUGUGUGUGUGUGUGUGUGCGUGUGUGUGUGUAUUUAUCCCCGUAACUUAGAGGUUUGGCAAAAGUGACCGAUAGAAUAAGUGCCAGGCUUAAAAGAAUAAGUCCUGGGGUCGAUCUGUUCGACUAAAACGCGGUGCUCCAUCAUGGCAGCAAUCACAUGACUGAAACAAAAGAACAUAUAUAUAUACACACAAUACACACACACAAACACUGUACAAACACACGUAGUUGAAUGGACGUUGACAGAAGUAUGUGUGUGUGUGUGUUUGUGUUUGUGCUUGUUUCUCUCACAUUCCUUGACAACCAGUACUGGUUUGUUAACAUUCCUGUAACAUUAGCAGCUCGGAAAAAAAAAACCGAACCAGAACCCUCCAAGGUAGUACACCAGCAUAGCCGUAGUCCAAUGACUGAAAAAUGCAGAAAAUAAACGAUAAAAGACGAAACAAGACAUUAUGUGUACUUGUGUGUGUGUGUGUGUGUGUGUGUGUGUGUGUGUGUGUGUGUGUGUGUGUGUGUGUGUGUGUGUGUGUGUGUGUGUGUGUGUGUGUGUGUGUGUGUGUGUUUGUAUUUAUAUAUGUAUAUGUUUUGCAAACAACUUGCGCAUGCAAGUGCAACCAGUCGAAAGAUCCGCAUACCGGAAGUCUGCAAGUGUCUGGGGUCAUCAGGAGAGAAUGUGCGCCGUUUCAGGACCUGCCUCUUAACAGCAUCAUUACGCACCGGCCCCCUUCACUGAAAUGUUAACAAGCCCCAUUUGCUAGAUCAACUGGUUAUCGGAUAUAGCUCAGUGUUCUUCUAGCCAUUGCUCAUCGUUUCUUGUUAACCAAAUCCAGUGGUUUGUCUUUUCCACUGUAAUUUGGAUGUCAUUCAUGGUGGUAUUUAUUCGUUUUACGACUAGUUAGGCCAACAGUCGCCUCACACUAUGUUCAACGAAUCCUUUACAUCCGACUUCGAUUGGAAAAUGCUCCACUUUCCAGCCUGUGUCAUCACAUUCCUCAAGGAGCGUCCAUAUUAUCUUUCUGAGGAAUCGUUAACUCAACUAGAUUUACCACUUUCUUUCUUUCACACUAUAUUAUGAUAUCCGGUUUCUUCGUAACUGGGAUGGGAAAGAAUCCUUGGCACCCUGGUAAAUCUGCAGCCACCUCCCAAUAGCCGUUUCGCUUUCCAUCGCUCACAGGAAGUUUCUUCUUCUUGAAACGGAUAUGCUCUCCUGAGUGCAAGAAUGUAAUGAAAUCUCCGGUUGGUUUUUUCAAUCGUUUUUUGCCACUGUUGAUGAGAACAAUUUGGUUCUUUAUAGCAUUGAAGAUAACCUUAAGGACAAGAUUGUGUCUCAAUGUAUAUCUAUUCCAGCGGACAGUUGGGAAGAAUAUGUUCCAGUGUUCCGACUUUUCUUCAUCUGCAUAUAUCAUUUUCUCAGACGUUCCAUCUUACUAGAUUUGUAGGCAAUGGCAAAACAUCGCAGGAUGAACGAAUCAGAAAACUUAGCCGUGAUGAAAGUCUACCUCCGUAUCUCAUUCCAACUUAUUUUUCUCUCAACAACGUGUUCGUCCCAUUUUGUCAUCUGUCCUUGUUGUGCGCAUUGAAUCAAAUGAAGCUCUCUUCUCUGUAUCCCUUGCUUUGACACUGUAGCUAGCAACAGAUCUGCGUUCGCACCGCAUCAUGCCUGCAAACCGUCUGAAUCGAUGUGCGCCAAAUCCAAGUCCCUUCCGAUGAAUUUGCGUUGCAUCUACUAUAUCUCGGUGUGUAAGUGAAGGUGAAAUAUCCUCAGUCUCUGCUUCUGCUUUCCACUUUCUGGCUGUUUUUACAUCUGGUGGAUUACGCCUGAUUUCUAUAUCCUUCGACUCUCUCAGUAUCAUCACCAUUCGAACCUUCCCUAGUUUAUAAAUUUUGACUAUUGAUGCCAGUGAUAAUACAACGAGCCUCUUUUACGAUAGAGAGCUGAACAGUUCAAUAUCCGAGGUGGGCCUAGCCACAUUUUAAUGAACACAUUACACUUUUGUUCAAUGAUUUGAACUCACGACAAUGCCACCUCGUAUAUUAGAAGUGACCGCGAAAGGCGCGAAUAUAAGUUGAACUGUAAGCUCCAUAUUUUAUAUUUACCUGGUAGCUUUGAGCUAUCAAUUGCUGUUAAACCAUCCUCAGCUUGUUUCAUAAUUUGCAUCCCGCGACUCCUAUCCGACAAUGUUCCAGCUUAUACAUGCCCCAAGCUAUUAACGGAUUCUUCCUUGACUUUUGGAAUGCUUUCUUCAGCCAUUUUAAACUUAACUUCUUUUUGCACUUACUUAAUAAAUGUCAGACUAUACGACUUUUUUUGCCCUGAAUCUCAUUCUUUACCACUUCACCAACCCGUCUAGCUCAAGAAGGCUUUCUGCAUGAUUUGCUUGUCUGUCGACAGAAAUAUCACGUCAUCCAUGAAGGCCUUCUUAGGUGAUUGUGCGAUUUGUUCCGAAAAAUCCGCUGCUUUCAAAAUCAUCUCCAUGACUAGGAUAAACCACGUGAGAGAUGUUGUGCUACCAGCAGCAAUGGCAAUCUCCAGUUGGUGUCAAUUUGUUGAAAAAUUUCCAGCAGUAAACCUCAUCUCAAAACUGUCAUAAUAUACCCUCAUUAAUCUCGUUACUUUCUCUGGAUUGUGGAAGUGGUCUAUGGCUCUCAUGAGCAAUUCGUGUGGCACUGAGCCAUAUACAUUAACUAGAUCAAGCCAUACCACGUUCAGACUUAUCUUGUUCUUUUUGGUGUCAUGGAUCGUUUUCCAAAUCGAAAAAUGAUGUUCAACGCAUCCAGGGAUUCCAGGGAUUCCAGCCUUUUGAACAGUCAUCGCAUACCCAUUACUCUGUAGAUAUGUCACCUUGAGAGAAUUCUCCUUGAAAGAAUUCCCAUAAAGACCUUGCCUUCCACAUUCAAUAAGGAUAUCAACUCCUGGGGCUCUCUUUUCUCUUGCUUUUCUCACAAAAUCAUUCACCUCUUUCUCCCUGAUGUUCCCAAUUUGAAAUUUGAUAUCAGGUUCUAAGAGAUGCUUUAGCCCAUUUAUAGGUGACAAUGGCUGGUUUCGGUUUGGAUCGCUAGAGGUUUCUUUAAUAUGAACAUCCAAUUCUUCUUUUGUGCACAAUAUAGUGCCACUCUUUAAUUCAGUGAAUAGCUUCUUAGUAACCCCGUACGGGUUCUUGAGUCCUUUUGCUUUCUUUUCUUCGCUCAUAUCGGCGGAUGUGUUGUUGCACAUAACGGCAUUUUCCUUUAAAAUCUUCGCACAGCUGCGCGAGGCCAGGUUUUUCGUCUUCCUUCGCACAUUUCCAUCGCUUUCUUAGGCUCUUCUUUUCCCUCCUCAACUGUUUCAUUUUUCUGAUCCUCCUGCUUGGGCAAUAUUUUCCUUUCGCUUAUUGGUCCCAUAUUUCAGUCCAAAUAAUUGCUUUUCUUGUAUCGUACAUUGAGCUUGCUAACUUCCCCAGUUUCUCCACUGUAGAUCUUGUCAUUUUAUAAAGAGCUUUACAUACCUUGUUCUCAAAUUCUUUAUAUCUUCCUUUCUCAUUAGCAGCAGGCUACAUAACCCUCGGUUUUCUACGAGUACUAUCUGAUGCACAGUCUUAUAACCUGCAGUUUCUUGUCGAGAAGAGGUCUUUGCUGUAGCAUUUAUCGAUCCGCAGUGCUUUGAGUCCGGAGAUAAUUUACCACGUGUUUUUCGAUCAGAUGAUCCACAAUGCUCAGUCCACUUCUUACAAAUGUCUUUCCCUGCUGGGUUUGAUUGCUUCUCGAUUUCCACCUCUCGGUCAAUCAUGGGGCUGUUAUUCUCAUUGGUUGUUGUAUAAUAUUGUACAGAGGUGAGGAUUGUAAGUCCGCAGCCUCCGCCAGUCUUUCCUGUCGUCAAUAGUCUUUCAUUUGUGAGCUCGUCUUACCGAGCAGUCUUCUUGUCUUUUCAAGAUGCCUAACCGUCUUCCAGGCAUGUCAGUUGUUACCUACCACAAGUUCUGUGAUGUUUUGCAAACAACUUUUACAUGCAAGCACUACCAUUUGAAAGCUCCGCAUACCGGAAGCCAGCAAGUGUAUGGGGUCAUCAGGAGGGAAUGCGCGCAGGUUCGGGGCCUACUCUCAACAGCAUCAUUGCAGAACCUAAAAUCUUUCGCCAGCCUGAAACUUUCUCUUUGAGGCCCUGCGGGUAGAGAAUCGGUUAAUGGGCUUACAGUUCUAUGGUACAUAUAUCGUAUUAUUGCAAAAGAUGACUUCGGUGUAACACAAAAAUGCAACGACUUAGAGCAAGUUCCUUUUGUGGUCGAUGAAAAAGUUUCAAUCUAUGGAAAAGAAUUGGUGGAACAGUCGUGAGAUCUUUCGUCUAUUUGCAUUUUGACAGCUAUACUUGUAAUGACUCUGAUCUCAAACUAUAUCAGCCUUUACCUUGCCUUUUCCUUUGGACAAUAUCAGUGCCAUGGAGCGGGGUACUCACGUUCACAGAGAGCUGCUAGUCUCCUAGAAAUAUACCUAUCCGGGCCUGCGAAUACAGGUAAAGACACACAGUCAACCCUGAGCAACGGAAGCUUUGUAUCUUUUUACUGGCACAGAUUAGUGACUAUCAUUAUGACUGAAAUACGUAGAUGUAUAAAACUUCAAAUGAAUAUGGAAUGAGACGAUUUGGCAUGGUUUUGGGACGUAGGAGAUUUAGCGCAACUGACUGGACAUUCAGCCUGUUUUUGCGACAGUAAUUUUUGCGCUAGAGGUAAACACGUACGCGCGCGCAGAAUUAUCCGCAUUCAAAUGGGAAGGUGGUGAGAGAGAGAUAGAAAGAGUGGUUGAGAGGGAGAGAGAGACACAUGUACAUACGUUACAAUUUAUUAAUUGGACACGAUUGUCACAAACACUUUCCCUCUCCUAAUACUCAUAAAAAGAAAUAUGCUCAGAGAAAUAACGCGGGAGUGACACUGAAAUGCCUGAUGUCAAAUAAGUCAGUGUCGAAUCAGCGACGUCAAACAACCGACGCGAAAACAGCUGUCAAAACGUCUCUUACCUAAAUGGAUACUGUAGAGCAGCAUAACAAAUUUGUUUGUAAGCAGAGCUACGGUUCUCCCACGAGACACUGAAAAAACAACAAGCGACUUUCUGCUUUAGUGUUCUUUAAAACACUUGACAAAGACAAGGGUUUCAGUAGUUACCCAACAAUUCAAUGGGUAGAUGUACAUUCAUGAUUUUAGUUGAAAGUUACAUUUAGCAGCUAUCAACAUAUUCAUUCAUCAACGACCUCAUUCUAAACACAAGAGUGCAAAACAGCUAGAUAUUAAUUCGUCGCUUACUUGCCGUUUAGCUAAUUUAUGGAAAGAGGAAUCUGCCCUUUUAAGAUUUUACGGCAGAAAUUAAGACUAAUGACAUGAUUUAAUUUUAAAUCUGUUCUUCUUAUUGUUUGUAUUGUCAUUUAGCCUCAUAUCAGUCAUGGUUGAGUAGUUUAUGACUGAAGGCAUUCCAUCCGUGUAUCCACGAUAACAUUAUCCUGUGUAUCUUUGUUUUUUAAGUCGAUAGGGUUUGAUUCAAGAGAGAUUUUACUGGUAUUUCUUGCAGAUCAAGUGACCAUAUAAAGAUUUCCAUACUGGCUAGUUGACCCUUAUUUUAUUCAAUCAGUUCCAGUUCUGAAGAUAUAGCUUACCCUAUUUUAAGCUAAUGCAUCUAUUCCUAUAUUAAAAUUCUGAACCCUAGCUACACUUUACAUUUUUAUGCGAUGGAAGUUAGACGUGUUUUAUCAGUUUUUGUCCUAUCAUCUCUAAUUGAUUAAUUAUCUAUAAUUAUGAUGAAAAAUAACACUACUAAUGACAUUAAUAUUGGGGUCAUCCCAUUAAUAAUGCCGUUUUUUUUUUCAAUUGCAUAAACUAAAAGUCGGAGUGGGGCGGGAAAAAUACCUGUAUCAACUUGUUAUAAAAGCAGGUAGUAAUUUUACCUUGUGCUUAAUCUUAGUGCGAGUUCGAUUUUUAAGUUUAUUUUUUCAAAGCUAUAAUGAAAGUGACAAAAGGAGCAUAUUCGGCAUAUUUUGCUUUAUGAGUUCAAUAAAGGCAACAAAGCAACGGAAAGUGCGAAGAAUAUUAAUGCAGUAUAUGGGAAUCGGACAAUAAGCGUAAGCCAGUAUCAAUGGUGGUUCCAGAAAUUCCGAGCCGGAAACUACAGCCGGGAAGACGAGCCUCGUCCUGGAAGAUCUGUAGAGAUUGAAGAGGACGUUCUGUAAACCCUGGUGGAACAAAAUCCCAUCGUAACUGUUGAGGAACUAGCAGAGAAGCUUGGAUUUGGUCAUUCAACCAUUCAUCGACACCUGUGUGCCAUCAGAAACUUUUCGAAUCUAAUCGCGCGCAGAAUGAAUGUGUGCUCUUCUUUGCUGUCACGUCUCACGAAUACACCAUUUUUGGACCGAAUAGUGACUAGUGACGAGAUAUAGGUUCUCUAUAAAAAUGUCAAGCGCCAAAGACAGUAGGUAGUGAAAGGAGAAACACCGGCACACCAGGCUAAAGAUCUUCCCGCACGUAAGGUGUUCUUAUCUGUUUUGUAGUAUAUGGAAGGUUUUGUCAACUUUUAACUUUUAAACCCAAGCCAAACGAUGACAAAGGAAAUCUACUGCAAGCAGCUUGAGCAGCUCAAGACGAAAGGUGUUCUUCCAUCAGGAUAAUGCUCGGCUACAGACAACGGGGAUGGCAUUCCAAAGCUGGAGCUGUUUGAAUGGGAAACGAUGCCCCACCCACCAUAUUCGCCGGACAUUGCCCCAUCUGAUUAUCAUUUAUUCUACAGUCUUCAAAAUCAUUUGGACCGAAAAAAUAUGAAUUUUGCAAACGAGUUCAGAACAAUGCUGGAGAAGUAUUUUUAGUCACAGACAAGUGAAUUUUGGAAGAGGGUCUUUACAAGUCUCCCAGAUAAAUGGAAGAACAUUAUGGAAAAUGAAGAGUAUAUUUUAGAUUAAAAAAGAAUUUUUCUUAUUUUAAUUUUAAAAAAUAAAAGAAGUAUAAAAAACAUGCAUUAUUUAUGAGGUAACCCAAUAUACUACAUUCUAAUUAAAAGAACCACAUAUAAUGAAAUCAGUUUAUUUCAACAUAAAAUCUUAAAAAACAUUGAAUGAAAAAGGUGUCUGUUUUGAAUAUUUAUGCAGUAAAUUCCCUGAAUUAAGCGUGAAAAGGCAAGGGUUUUAUGGUUUGUAGAUAAGAGAGCUUAUCAGACAUUUAUAUAUUCAACGGAUACUACUGAACCCUAUGCAUGGUCUUCGUUUGUUUUAAUUAUCUAAAACCUUCUUCACAACCACAAGGCAGACAACUAAUUUAAAUAAAUGGAGUAGACUGUUCCCGAUUUGAACGCGUAGCUGUAACAUGAACAUCAGGGUUUAUUACACCUGAAGUCAUUUCAUUCAUCUAGAAGUUUGAUAAUAUAAGAAAAAGGAAAAUGAUUUUAUCGGGAUAUAAUGACAAUAAAGGAGAGGUACUAACGAAGGUGGAAUACCUGUAGCAGACUACUACUAGAAUUUCCAGCAAGAUUGUUUUGGUAAAUACUUGUAAAAUAAGCCACUUCUAUGUUGAAUAAUUGAUCAUUUAAUCUUUAUUUUUUAGUUACAAUUGCUGUAGAUUUUGAUGCAGUACACUAUAAGCAUUUUAUGUUGAAUUAAUUCUUCCUACAAUAAGCGCAAUACAUGGGAUUGGGGGGCAGGAGGAUAGUAGAUAUUACAUCGAUCCCAGUACUUAUUUUAUCGACACGGAAAGAUGAAAGGCAAUGCAGACCUCGGCGAAAUUUGAAUCCAGAAUGUAAGGACGAAAUACUGCUUUGCAUGAGGUUGCUUAUGUCUUCCAAAAUAUAUUUAACAUCAAUAUUAUGGUUAUUUUUGUAUUAAAUUAUCAAACCAUUAAUUAGGAUUGACAGGACAUAAUCGAUGUAAAUUUUGGAAUCAGCAGCCCUAAAUAUACGUAGCCUCCAAGGCACCAAAAUGUAAGAAGCAACUGAGACCCCUAAUUUCAACGCAUGAUAUAGCUUAUCUCAUAAAGAGAUAAGCCGUAUCUCCAAAACGAAAUUUGAUAGAGUAGAACUGAUGGUAUAUUCAGAAUCAACACCCCAAAUCCGUCCCCAGCAAAUCUAACCUCCAAAGCCUUUUUGUCACUGUUAUCUAACUGAGACAUUAGCACACAAUGAGUCAGUAGCAUGUACUUUGGACACCAAGAGAAAAGUGUACCACAGAAACCUUUUUUUUAUAUUUCAGUGCCGGUUUUAACAUUAAGCAAAUGGCAACAUAAUAUAUAACAGUUCUUUUGAUAAAUUUUAAAAGUGUUAAAAAUUUGCAUUUUCCCUGUUGCCCUAGUUAUAAUAAUUUUCUUAUACUACUUACAAUUGCUUAAUGUUGUAAAUUUAUCUUUUCAGGACACGCAAUGUAGUUGUUGCGGCCACUACUGUCGUGCAGAGCACCAGACUAUAUUAGAUGUUACAUUUUGGCGACUUCCUAAUAGUGGACAAUUUAACCAGCCUACGUUGAUGAUAUAAACAUAAACACACCACAUGAAAGUGACUCUACCAGAGCUAACGAGGAAGAGAGAGAGAGAGAGAGACUUCAAGCAAUAGCAACCGAGUGUUAGAAGGUAUCACGGCUGCGGUCGGUUGGAAAGGUAGCUUAAAAUAAUUGCGGAACUUCUCUCGCAAAGAAACUGAAUUGUUAAUCUAUUAUUUCACAUUUAACACAUAUUUCCUUUUUAGUUUCACAGGGGAAGGGUCAAUAACUGUUGUCUCAUAUACUGAAUAUGUUAACAUAUCAGCCUACAAAAUCCAUAUCAACAUUUAUACAGGACAUACAUACAAUAAGGGCUUUGUAAGACACAUGAGCAAUUUCUAGGUAAAUGUUAGACUGUUUUUACUCCAGAAGUGAUCUGAGACAUCACGAAUGGAAAUUUAAAAAUGAACAUUGGUUAAUGCUCGUAUUUGAAGAUAAUAUUGCAAGAAAUUUUAAUUCAUUUUAAUUAAUUAAGAUUAUUUAAAUAUAGAUUGUAAUGUGUAGUGAGACCUCUUCAGCGAAUCAUUGCUCGAUUGUCAGUGUAGACUUUACACAAGUAGUGAAAGAUGAAAAGAUGAUUAUUAAAUAAUACUUUGUAACGAAGAUUUUAUUUCCAUUUUCAUUUU
rnacentral:lncRNA from 1 species